AGUUACGUAGCAUAGUAGUUAGCGUAUAUACCUGUCGUUCUACUUCACCUUAGGAUAGAAUCCUAGGGUAGAGUAAGGCUUGUACGAGGUCGUGGGUUCGAAUCCUAUUGCGACCU